ensembl:snRNA U6 U6 spliceosomal RNA
CUGCUCACUUGGCCAACACAUACACUGAAACUGUAUUGACACAGAGAAGAUUAGCAUGGCCCCAUGCAGGACACAGAAAUUCACGAAAUGUUCCAUAUUUUA